UCUCCGUAGGUGAACCUGCGGAGGGAUCAUUACACAAAUAUGAAGGCGGGCUGGAACCUCUCGGGGUUACAGCCUUGCUGACUUAUUCACCCUUGUCUUUUGCGUACUUCUUGUUUCCUUGGUGAGUUCGCCCACCACUAGGUCAAACAUAAACCUUUUGUAAUUGCAAUCAUCGUCAGUAACAAAUUAAUAAUUACAACAUUCAACAGCGGAUCUCUUGGUUCUGGCAUCGAUGAAGAACGCAGC
rnacentral:misc_RNA from 1 species